rnacentral:lncRNA from 1 species
AUGGUGGAAAGCUCCACAUCCUCUUCCCUUGACUCCUUGUUGGAGCGGCACACCCAGGUAUACACUGUCACAUAUCUUCUGAACCAGGUGGAGCAAGAUGAGCUCACUGAGGCAGAGGCCAAGGGAGCAGCUCCAGUCCAAGCUGAAGUCCCACCUGCAGAGCCUGUGCCAGCUCCACCUGCAGCUGCCUCCCCAGCUCUGGCACCACAGCCAGAGCGAGCACCAGGAAGCCCUUCUCCUCCAGCUGGACAGCUGGGGCAAAUGGUGGCUCCUCAGCAGGUGUCAGCUCCUGACCUCCCCUUGGGGCAAGCUCCUGCCCCACACUGGCCAUUCCCCUCCAUUAUUGUUGCUCUUGUUUUUUCCUUGACUUUUGCACUUAUUUGCUGGAUUUAUGUCAAUGAUAGAUUGAUUUUUAAAUAAAAGGUAAGAUUUUACUGUUGCUUAACAUGAUCGGCUUGGUGGCAUGAAGUACCUUCUCAGUGCGGUGAACCUGACACCUCUGUCGAGGUCCAGGGCAUUUUCCUCAGUGCUGCACCCAUGAGUGGUUCCUCCUCUGACACCUGCUGCUAGUCCCUGGCCACCACUCAUCUUAUGUCCCCGUAAUUUACCUAUUCUACAUUUUUCACAUCAGUUCAAUCAGAUUUCUCCGUGUCCACAUAAUCCUGGAAGGGACUCAUGCAUGAAUCCUGCUUUCCGUAGAAGGGAAAAUCCUAGAUAUAUCCUCAACAUUUUUCAUUCACCUAUUGAAUAAAUUAUGCAGUUUUUUGUCAGACAAGAAAUAUUUAUUAAUUAGUGCAAUAUGAAUGAAGAAUAAAAGAAAGGACAUAGUCACAGUCAUCCCACCAGGAGCCUUGCCCCCCUCCCCAGUGCUUCCCCUUCCUGUCUACAUCUCAGGGUUCAGGCCGUGUCUUAGAUGCUGGGUGGGAAUGUGUCAGAACACAGCUCCCCUGUCAUCUCAUUUAUGCACUGGGGACAUGAUCCCGUCAUGCUCUAUCCCUUGGCACUUUCUGUGGCCACAAUGACACAGUUGACUCAGCAACCUCUGCUCCAGACAAUUUCCGGGUUUUCAUGCCCAUAACUGAGCCAAAAGGAACAGCUGUGUCUGUAAAUAUUAUUUUUCAGAUGGAAUCCUGCCAGUGGAAUUUCUGGGUCACAGUCACAGAAAUGGGGGCAGAGACAGACUCACAUCUGUGGGGUCUGCACUGUCCAAAGGCAGAACACUCAGGACCAGGGGCACAGAGCUCCCAAUGACCUCUGAGAAAUGCAGCUCUACAGGAA